rnacentral:ncRNA from 1 species
AACUCAUCGCGAGUGGUGGAGGGACUGGCCCUAUGAAGCCCGGCAACCGGUGGUUUAACCACAAUGGUGCCAAAUCCUGCGGUAAUUUGUUUACCGAGAGAUGAGAG